rnacentral:misc_RNA from 1 species
GAGUUUACAAUGGUUAGGAACUCUUGAAAUUCAGUGAGAAAAAUAUUCUCAGUAUUAAACAGACUCCACUUUUAAGUGCUGGACAUUUUUCCAUAAUAAAGUUUUGCACGUCUUUUUUUCCAGUGAAAACAUUUUGAGAUGCUCUUUACACAAAUUUAUACAUUCCCGCUGGACUGUAAAGUUAAAACUUUGAGUUUAUUUUUCUCUGUGUUUUUGUAUUCACUGUCCUCUGAAAGUCCCUCCAGUACUCAUUCUUAAUUAUGGAAUACAUUGUUGAUCAGAAGUUUUUAACCAUACAUAUAUGAGUAACUGUGUUGACAAUUUCUUAUUAUUGUCUGUGAUAAAUGACAUUAAAUAUAAAUGAUUACAUGUAUUUAUUUUAUCAAUUUAUAAUAAAACAUGAAGUUAC